rnacentral:rRNA from 1 species
CAGCAGCCGCGGUAAUACCGGCGGCCCGAGUGGCGGUCACUAUUAUUGGGCUUAAAGCGUCCGUAGCCGGGUUGGGAAGUCCUCCGGGAAAUCUGGCCGCUUAACGGUCAGAAUGCCGGAGGAUACUCCCAGCCUAGGGAGCGGGAGAGGCCGAGGGGAUUCCCGGAGGAGGGGGGAAAUCCUAUAAUCCCGGGAGGACCACCUGUGGCGAAGGCGCUCGGCUGGAACGCGUCCGACGGUGAGGGACGAAGGCCAGGGGAGCAAACCGGAUUAGAUACCCGGGUAGUCCUGGCGGUAAACGAUGCGGACUUUGUGUCGGACAAGCUAUGAGCUUGUCCGGUGCCGGAGGGAAACCGUUAAGUCCGCCGCCUGGGGAGUACGGCCGCAAGGCUGAAACUUAAAGGAAUUGGCGGG